AUGCCUUCAAUGACAAUCUACAAUGUAAAUAGUCAUGAAAAUAAAGAAAACACUGUCACACCGCGGUGAGGGAUGUCUUGUCUUGUUUUUUUGUCUUGUGAAUUCCAUGUUUUAUUUUGAAAAGUAACUCUCUUCUCGUUUCAGGUCACUUGCCUUUCCUCUUGUGUUAUCAGUCUGACGUCAUCCCUGAUCCCUGAUUGUUUUCACCUGUUGCCCAUUACCCCCAUGUGUCUUAUAGUCCGCGUCUCCCUUUGUUCUGUGCCAGAAUGUCUCGUUGCAGCGUGCAUCUCCAGCACCAUGCCCAAGCCUUGUCUCGUCUUGUUUUGAUUUAUCCGGAUCCUGAAUUUUCAAGUUGGUAUUUUGAGUUUCCCUUUUCUCCUCUUAAGCAGAGUGAUUUUUUUGUUUGUAAAGUUUUCAAGUUGAAGUGGUGAGUUCAGUUUAUUUUUUACAGUCUUGUCUUUUCAUCAUUAUUGAGUGAUUUUUUGUUGUUAAUAAUUUUGCUAGACCAGAAACAGUGUAGAAGUUUUAUAGCCCAUUGUUUUUCCCUCCUUCUGGAGCGUUUUUUUGUUCUUUAAAUUUCAUAGUUAUAUUCCUCGCUAGUGUAAUUAGAGAUUGAUAUUUUUGUUUCCUCCUGUGAGUGAUUUUCUGUUUUUCACCUUUCUUUCAGUUGACAGAAUUCAUAGCCGUUGUUUUAUUGCCCUGACUCAAGAGUGGAAAAGUGAUCAUUUCAAGAUAAAAGCCUGUCUGAUUGUUCUCCACUCUACAUCUGAGUCCUAUUUCUGAUCCAGGCCUGACAAACACAUUGAAAUGAGAAGGGCACGAUCUGUGGCAUCUUGCAGUAGCAGCAAGAUGUUGGUCUUUUAAAGAGUCACCAAUCACUAAAUCAACACCCCGAUAAUUGAUGAUUGUGUGCGUACACGGAAGGAGAGAGGCAGCGUCACAGGUGCAGCGCACGCUGCUUGGCAUGGGGGAAUUCCGCCCUCAAUGAAGACUUCCAGGUGGCCCUUGGCAAAGGCCUAGUACCUGACUGCCUCCUAGCCAGGGAUACGGUGAAGACCUCAACGGCGGAGCAGGCGCAAGAAGGCACCCCCACAUCCAUGUGGGCCCAGUUAUAGGGAAAUAACAACCCAAGACCUCAACGGUGGAACAGGUGGAAGAUGAAUGCUAAACCUAUGGAGCGUCACAACAGCUGCGAUGGUGGAAGAAGGCUGCAGCAGAAAAGGGUCUCCAGUCGUCUCGGACUCCAUGCCACUGGACCCUGACCCGGAUCUGUCAAGGUUCGUGUGGUGACUGUCUGUGCACCAGUCUGCCCCCGUUAAACAAAGUCACGCACAGGCAUCCUCCAUAAAGGGAUACACCCCUACCAGGAGGAUCGUCAUACUCGUUCGAGUG